rnacentral:rRNA from 1 species
UACGUAGGGGGCAAGCGUUGUCCGGAAUCAUUGGGCGUAAAGCGCGUGUAGGCGGCCCGGUAAGUCCGUUGUGAAAGUCCAGGGCUCAACCCUGGGAUGCCGGUGGAUACUGUCGGGCUCGAGUCCGGAAGAGGAGUGUGGAAUUCCUGGUGUAGCGGUGAAAUGCGCAGAUAUCAGGAGGAACACCAAUGGCGAAGGCAGCACUCUGGGACGUGACUGACGCUGAGACGCGAAAGCGUGGGGAGCAAACAGG